GUGUACCUACGGGGGGCAGCAGUGGGGAAUAUUGCACAAUGGGGGAAACCCUGAUGCAGCGAUGCCGCGUGAGGGAAGAAGGUUUUCGGAUUGUAAACCUCUGUGGAGGGGGACGAUAAUGACGGUACCCCUUUAGGAAGCCACGGCUAACUACGUGCCAGCAGCCGCGGUAAUACGUAGGUGGCGAGCGUUGUCCGGAAUUACUGGGUGUAAAGGGAGUGUAGGCGGGAAAGCAAGUCAGAAGUGAAAACUAUGGGCUUAACCCAUAGCCUGCUUUUGAAAUUGUUUUUCUUGAGUGAAGUAGG
rnacentral:rRNA from 1 species